GAUGAACGCUGGCGGCGUGCUUAACACAUGCAAGUCGAACGGGAAACCUUUUAUUGUAGCUUCGGCAGAUUUAGCUGGUUUCUAGUGGCGGCCGGGUGAGUAACUCGUGGUUAACCUGCCUUAUACAGGGGGAUAACAACCAGAUAUGGUUGCUAAUACCGCAUCAGCGCACACAACCGCAUGGUCCGGUGUGAAAAACUCCGGUGGUAUAAGCUGGACCCGCGUUGGAUUAGCUAGUUGUCAGGGUAACGGCCUACCAAGGCGACGAGCCAUAGACGGCAUGAGAGGGUGGACGGCGACAUUGGGACUGAGACACGGCCCAGACUCCUACGGGAGGCAGCAGUGGGGAAUAUUGCACAAUGGGGGAAACCAUGAUGCAGCGACGCCGCGUGAAGGAAGAAGUAUCUCAGUAUGUAAACUUCUAUCAGCAGGGAAGAUAGUGACGGUACCUGACUAAGAAGCCCCGGCUAACUACGUG
rnacentral:rRNA from 1 species